GAGCUCUCUACAACAGUAGUGAGUUGCAACCUGUCUGUCUUAACAGUGGAGUAUGAUUUUUCACCUAUCUUCAUCUAGCAAAUCAAUAGUGGCAAAGUCAACAUUUCUGAGAGUGGAGCUGGACUUGUGAUUCUGAUGCUCCAAAUUACGUGGUUUUUCAUAGGAGUUUCAUAAACUCUGAGAGAGGCAGGACGGGACAAGGUCUUGUCACAGAAGACAGAAAGUCAC